GUAAGACUUGAAAAAAUACAUACACAAUAUAAUCUUUCAAACAUAGGCACUAAGGUGCUACCAUUUCUGAAGUUUAAAAGUUGCAAGGACAUUUUGAACAUUGAUGGAGGUAAUAAAUUUUCAAUCUUAUCGGUUCCCUAUAUUGGAAACUUUACUAACAAGUGAAAUUUUUCUUUGCAAAUCUUUUUAACACCAAGAUGGAGAUUUGUUGGGCAAAUGUUGUCAAACAGCCUUUUGGACUAUGAGGUAACUCAGUAUGUUUUUGUAGCCGACAUUGACCAAAUGGUUUAAUGAAAAGCCAACACCUCAAUAAAGACGACUCAACUCCAAAAUCAAUUGGACCGUUGGAAACAGCCUAAUUUAUUUAGUGCUGCUCAUGACCCAAACCUUUUCUUCUUGGACAGCUUGUAUGAGUUGGUCCACUUAAUGAUACCGAACCCACUUACCUUUUCUGUUGGGCUUGGGUCCAAUAUGUUGACCAAAUAAGUGCGUCCCCCUUUUUUAAUUGGUGUUCACGUGUGUGCGCUGCCCAUCUCUUUUCUUCUUUGCGUGACCGUCUGCCUUCAUGGUUUUUUACAUUUUCUCCUAUGUCUUUCUCUUUUCACCUUUAUGGCUGGAUUUAUGACUCUGCUCACACCUUUGUUUGUAUCCUUUGUGGACAAAUCAUAGCAAUCAGAGAGAAGUAUUGUUUGGAGGAGUUUUGGUUUGGGUGUGUUUGUUGAGGUUGUCGAUUGGAGGUUAAAACUAAGCCCGGAGCAACUUUUGGUGACAAAUCUUCUGCUACAAAAGCCAACGAGACCAAUAAGCAAUCGUAAGCCCACCUCCGUUGCUUACAGAUUGAUGUGAGCAUAAAUCACAAUUUUGGAUGCAAACUACAUUGUCAAAUUACAGUAGGCAGGAACCAUCAAGAACAAAUAAAAAUCAAUAAUUUUCAUUCUAGGAACCAGAAAAAGCCAAUUAUUGCACUAAACUUCAAGAAAAGAGUAUGAAACCUUUUGUUACAGCCAUUCAAAUUGAAUAAGAAUACCAUUCAAAUGAGACGAUAAAUGUCUUCGCCGCUAUUAGGGAUUACAAAAAUGCCAUCCGCAAAAUUACAGCAUGGAAAUCGAUUACUUGGCGAAAUUUAUGAAACAAAAAUUAGAUUUGGAUAUGAAAGAAAGCUAAGAAUGUGAUAAAAUGGGGAAAUCGAUUCAAGAUGAUUACAGAAUUGCGAUUUUUCUUCAUAUAGGAAGACUAUAAUUUGGAGAUUUCCUUUUGGCAAGAUAAUCGAGUGCGCAGUGCAGUGCCGUGUUU
rnacentral:lncRNA from 1 species